rnacentral:rRNA from 1 species
AGCGAACGCUGGCGGCAGGCCUAACACAUGCAAGUCGAACGAAGUCUUCGGACUUAGUGGCAGACGGGUGAGUAACACGUGGGAACGUGCCUUUAGGUUCGGAAUAACUCAGGGAAACUUGUGCUAAUACCGAAUGUGCCCUUCGGGGGAAAGAUUUAUCGCCUUUAGAGCGGCCCGAGUCUGAUUAGCUAGUUGGUGAGGUAAAGGCUCACCAAGGCGACGAUCAGUAGCUGGUCUGAGAGGAUGAUCAGCCACAUUGGGACUGAGACACUGCCCAAACUCCUACGGGAGGCAGCAGUGGGGAAUCUUGCGCAAUGGGCGAAAGCCUGACGCAGCCAUGCCGCGUGAAUGAUGAAGGUCUUAGGAUUGUAAAAUUCUUUCACCGGGGACGAUAAUGACGGUACCCGGAGAAGAAGCCCCGGCUAACUUCGUGCCAGCCGCCGCGGUAACAC